GACGAACCACCCAAACGUUAUUCGGAAUUACUGGGCUUAAAGGGUGCGUAGGCUGUGCGGAAAGUUGGGUGUGAAAUACCUCAGCUUAACUGAGGAACUGCGCUCAAAACUACCGUGCUCGAGGGAGACAGAGGUGAGCGGAACUUAGGGUGGAGCGGUGAAAUGCGUUGAUAUCCUAAGGAACACCGGUGGCGAAAGCGGCUCACUGGAUCUCUUCUGACGCUGAGGCACGAAAGCUAGGGUAGCGAACGGGA
rnacentral:rRNA from 1 species